GACAGAGGAUGCAAACGUUGCUCGGAGUUACUGGGCGUAAAGCGCAUGUAGGUGGUCUGAUAAGUCGGGUGUGAAAUCCCGGGGCUCAACCUCGGACGUGCACACGAUACUGUUGGACUUGAGUACUGGAGAGGAGAGCGGAAUUCCCGGUGUAGAGGUGAAAUUCGUAGAUAUCGGGAGGAACACCAGUGGCGAAGGCGGCUCUCUGGACAGAUACUGACACUGAGAUGCGAAAGCGUGGGAAGCAAACAGG
rnacentral:rRNA from 1 species